GCAGGAUGACGGCCCUAUGGGUUGUAAACUGCUUUUAUGUGGGGAUAAAGUGCGUGACGUGUCAUGCAUUGCAGGUACCACAUGAAUAAGGACCGGCUAAUUCCGUGCCAGCAGCCGCGGUAAUACGGAAGGUCCGGGCGUUAUCCGGAUUUAUUGGGUUUAAAGGGAGCGUAGGCUGUCUAUUAAGCGUGUUGUGAAAUUUACCGGCUCAACCGGUGGCUUGCAGCGCGAACUGGUCGACUUGAGUAUGCAGGAAGUAGGCGGAAUUCAUGGUGUAGCGGUGAAAUGCUUAGAUAUCAUGACGAACUCCGAUUGCGCAGGCAGCUUACUGUAGCAUAACUGACGCUGAUGCUCGAAAGUGCGGGUAUCAAACAGGAUUAGAUACCCUGGUAGUCCGCACAGUAAACGAUGGAUGCCCGCUGUUAGCACCUAGUGUUAGCGGCUAAGCGAAAGCAUUAAGCAUCCCACCUGGGGAGUACGCCGGCAACGGUGAAACUCAAAGGAAUUGACGGGGGCCCGCACAAGCGGAGGAACAUGUGGUUUAAUUCGAUGAUACGCGAGGAACCUUACCCGGGCUUGAAUUGCAGAUGUUUAUAUCAGAGAUGAUAUAUUCCCUUCGGGGCAUUUGUGAAGGUGCUGCAUGGUUGUCGUCAGCUCGUGCCGUGAGGUGUCGGCUUAAGUGCCAUAACGAGCGCAACCCCUUUUUUUAGUUGCCAUCAGGUAGUGCUGGGCACUCUAGAGAUACUGCCACCGUAAGGUGUGAGGAAGGUGGGGAUGACGUCAAAUCAGCACGGCCCUUACGUCCGGGGCUACACACGUGUUACAAUGGGUGGUACAGAGAGUUGGUUGUACGCAAGUGCAAUCUAAUCCUAAAAACCAUUCUCAGUUCGGACUGGGGUC
rnacentral:rRNA from 1 species